rnacentral:tRNA from 1 species
GCUCCCAUGGCGUAGUGGUCACUGCGCUCGCCUUGCACGCGGGAGACCCGGGUUCGAUUUCCGGCGGGUAUG